rnacentral:rRNA from 1 species
AACGAACGCUGGCGGCAUGCCUAACACAUGCAAGUCGAACGAGACCUUCGGGUCUAGUGGCGCACGGGUGCGUAACGCGUGGGAACCUGCCCUUAGGCUCGGAAUAACUCCCCGAAAGGGGUGCUAAUACCGGAUAAUGUCUUCGGACCAAAGAUUUAUCGCCUUUGGAUGGGCCCGCGUUGGAUUAGCUAGUUGGUAGGGUAAAAGCCUACCAAGGCGACGAUCCAUAGCUGGGCUGAGAGGAUGAUCAGCCACACUGGGACUGAGACACGGCCCAGACUCCUACGGGAGGCGGCAGUGGGUAAUAUUGGACAAUGGGCGAAAUCCUGAUCCAGCCAUGCCGCGUGAGUGAUGAAGUCCUUAGAGUUGUAAAGCUCUUUUACCCGCGAUGAUACUGACAGUACCGAGAGAAUAAGCUCCGGCUAACUCCGUG